UGCCAGCCGCCGCGGUAAGACGGAAGGUGCAAGCGUCAAUCGGGAAUUACUGGGCGUAAAGCGCGCGUAGGUGGUUUGUUAAGUUGGAUGUGAAGGCCCUGGGCUCAACCUAGGAACUGCAUCCAAAACUAACUCACUAGAGUACGAUAGAGGGAGGUAGAAUUCAUAGUGUAGCGGUGGGAUGCGUAGAUAUUGUGAAGAAUACCAAUGGCGAAGGCAGCCUCCUGGAUCUGUACUGACACUGAGGUGCGAAAGCGUGGGUAGCGAACAGGAUUAGAUA
rnacentral:rRNA from 1 species